rnacentral:rRNA from 1 species
GACGAACGCUGGCGGCGUGCUUAACACAUGCAAGUCGAACGGACAGGCGCUGCGCUUGUGGGUUGCUCGAGUGGCGAACGGGUGAGUAAAACGUGAGUAACCUGCCCUUGACUUUGGGAGAACUUCAGGAAACUGGGGCGAUUACAGGAUAGAAUCUCCUGCUGCAUGGGGGUGGUUGGAGAGAUUCGGCGGUGGGGGAUGGACUCGCGGCUUAUCAGCUGGUUGGUGGGGUAGUGGCUUACGAAGUCUUUGACGGGUAGCCGGCCUGGGAGGGGGAACGGCCACAUGGGGCCUGCGGUACGGCCCAGUAGGCAACGGGAGGCAGUGGGGGGGAACAUGGCACAACGGGCGGGAGUCUGAGGCGACAGCGCUGGGUGCGGAAUGACGGGCUUUGAGGGGUAAACAGAUGUCGCCGGUGACGAAGCGUGAUUGACGGUAAUGGGUAAAGAAGCAACGGCUAACUACGUG